GACGAACGCUGGCGGCGUGCUUAACACAUGCAAGUCGAACGGUAAGGCCCUGCUUUUGUGGGGUGCUCGAGUGGCGAACGGGUGAGUAACACGUGAGUAACCUGCCCUUUACUUUGGGAUAACUUCAGGAAACUGGGGCUAAUACCGGAUAGGAGCUCCUGAUGCAUGGUGGGGGUUGGAAAGUUUCGGCGGUUGGGGAUGGACUCGCGGCUUAUCAGCUUGUUGGUGGGGUAGUGGCUUACCAAGGCUUUGACGGGUAGCCGGCCUGAGAGGGUGACCGGCCACAUUGGGACUGAGAUACGGCCCAGACUCCUACGGGAGGCAGCAGUGGGGAAUAUUGCACAAUGGGCGGAAGCCUGAUGCAGCAACGCCGCGUGCGGGAUGACGGCCUUCGGGUUGUAAACCGCUUUCGCCUGUGACGAAGCGUGAGUGACGGUAAUGGGUAAAGAAGCACCGGCUAACUACGUG
rnacentral:rRNA from 1 species